rnacentral:lncRNA from 9 species
CUGGGCUUCGUUCCGCGCUGAGUAGAGACCGGUGAUUGAGAUCUUCCCUGUCGUUUAGAAGAGGGUGCUGGGAGUGCUGUGAGCAGAGAGGAAAAACAGAAUCAAGCGGAGGGCAAUAGAAUUCCAGAGCUGCAUAUCCCUUUGGACCUGAUGGAUAAAGAAAGGAGCCAUAUGCCUCUUAGUCAUAAAAAGAGAACAUUCGAAGGACCAUUCAAGCAAAUACGUCUAAGCCACUGAGAUAUUGUUAAUUGGCGAAGACAGAUGCAGAGAGGAGCUCAGACAGAAGGAGCUGAGAUUUUCUAUUCCUCAUCUGAAGGUGCCUGGGUUCCAGGAGAUCCACCCCGGAAACCUGGCCAAUUAGCUGUCGAUGUCGCUCAAGAUCAAAACACCACCUAUAAAGAAACUAAUGCUGAGAGAAGUUAAAUAAUAUGCUCAAGGACAUACAAGUUAUAUGGCAGAGCUGGGAUUCCCUUCAGUAAUUCAACUUUAUGUCCUAAACCUUAAUCAUUAUGUUCCUGGAUACGCAGUACUUCCUAACACAGAAACUAAACCCUGGUAGGAAAAGGUUAAGAUCUCAAGGAAGACAAGACUUGGGCCAAGGCAGAUUGAGGGGAGAUGUCAAUACUCAGAGAAACCACAGCCACAGAAUUAUAAGGACUUGAAGAUAUGACUUUGUAUGACAUUUACCUGGAUUUACCCUUCUGUCAAAGUGACUGCAGUGAUCUGAUUUCACAAAGAGAGACACUGCAGAAGAGAUUGGGAAGUGGAGGCAGUGAGAAUAAAACCACAUCUGAACAGCAUCUCCACCAUUACUUGAUAAAAACUUUUUCAGUCCAACAAUAAUUCCCAAAGGGAAACAUCAUCCAUACAACAAACAGCAGCUGAAAAGUCUGUUCUUGUGAGCUGUGUCGUCGUUUUAUCCUCUCCACACUUCUGCAUUUAGUUUGGUGCCAGGCAAAUUGUCUACCAAGACACUGAGCCAAUUAGGGGUAAGCUUUGUAGGAACAGCAAACCUGAAGAACGCCUCCUCACACAGGGUUACAUCUAAAGGGGGCUUUAGAUGACGUCUCAUUCGAGAAGAAUCCAUCUGGACAUCUUUUGCAAACUGUAUUUCGCUCUGGAGUUCCUACAGAAAACACCAAGCCAUUUAGCACAUUCUUCUCCAAUACUCUCACAACAGAUACCAUCUUCACAGAGUUUUGAGAACUAUUUGAGGACUAUCCAGAGUUAGCUAAACUUCUGGUCAAUUUGGAAACCAUGGUAUUUUACAGUUCGUCUUAGCCAAGAACGGAAACAUCCAGGAUAUAUAUCAUGGUAGUGCUGUCCAUGGGAACAGAAGUGGUGUCCAUGUUUUCCAUUCUGUCCCUAGUGCCUAAGGGGCAUGCCUGGUACAAAGGACUCAAUAGGCGUAAUGCUGCUAGUUCUUAGAACUACAUCCUGGUGUUUACAAAAGGGCAUUUGGACUCUUCAUGUGUAAGUACAAAGUUCCUUUUUUCAAUUACUUAUAAAAUAAAGUCAAUCUCAGAAACUGCAGAAAGGGAAAGGGAAAUCUUUACUAAAGUAUUUACUAUGUUCAGACAUAAUAAAAGGUUUCUCUUUGAUAAUGCUGACAUCUAUAAUAUCUAGAUGCUUUAUUAUAUACAUACAUAUGUAUAUGCACAUAAAGACCAGAUAUCAAAGUAUUUGUCUACUUAUUAGUAAGGAACACUUAUUAUUAGGUACAUAUAUUAUUUAAUGGAAAUUCUGAAAUUUAAAAAUCACCAUUAUGUUUAUUAUUAAUUAAAUUUUUGACAGAAUAAAGAAGGCUAGGAAGACUAAAAAUAUCCCCUAUUCAUACUAGCCAAAAACUAGAAAGAUUAAAUCAGUUGUGGUGUAGCCAUAGAAUGGAAUACUAUAUAGCAAUGAAAAUGGAUGAGCUUUUGUGUGUUCAACAGUGGAGGUGAUCUCACAGUAGAAUCAUAAAUAAAAGUAGAUAGACACCAAAAAAUGCAUAAAGUUUACUUAUAUAAAGUUCAUAUACCAGCAAAACUCAUCUAUGGUGUUGGAUUCCUCUGGCCAUGAACAUAGUAAUCACAGGGAGGAAGCCAGGUAAGCUUCUGGGGUGCUGGUCUUGUAGUGUUGUUUGAUCUGAGUGACUCAUAAGUGUUCACUUUGAGAAACUUCAUUAGGCACUUGUGAUUUGUGCAAUUCUCUAUAUGCGUCAUGUUUUUAAAAAGGUUCACUUUUUUAAAAAAGGUUCACUUUUUAAAAGGUUCUCCAUACUAUCCAUAUUGGUGGAGUUAUUUUAUAUCACAUAUAAAAUAUAUACACUGUAUAUGUACAUAUAUACAUAUAUGUACUAGUAGCUAAGAUUCGCAUACCUAUUACUCUACCUUUUCUUUAGGUACUUUGCUGUUUAUUUACUUACUAUGUUUGUGUAUCCCAGAAACCAACUGGAAGACCUCCUAGCCUUCCAUUCACUCUUUGCAGAUUGGACAAUGAAAUUCAAGCAGUUACUGCAACACUUUCAAAACACAUAUGUGGCUUAAAUAUGGAUUUUCCUAUCCUUUCAUGAAUGUCUGACUCAUAUCUUAAUGUAUUCCACACUCUAGUGAUAUAAAGAAAAUAAGUCAUUGGUCUUAGAAUAAUCUGUGUACAAAUCUUAACUUGAUUAGUUGAAAUUUAAAUCCAAAAAAAACCCAGAAGCUAAGUUAGAGAGAUAUAGCAAUGGAAACGGAUGUUAAACAUCCAUUUUCUUUUCCAAAUUCUAUGUUAAACAUAACUUUUAGCCCUACUUAGUGCUAAAUCUCAAUUAUUUAAAUAUAUUUUGGAACAAUUAACAUUUAUCUCACCAAUAUUUUCCACAUAAUAUUGAAUUUGAAAACUGAAAUCACCCAUUUUAAUAAUAAAAUAUUAUUACAAUGUUAAAAUGCACAGUAUAGAAGUGUGUGUGUGUGUGUGUGUGCGCGCGCGCGCGCGCGCGCGCGUGCACACAAGUGCGCAUGUCUGUGUGUGUGAUCUUUUGUGUGGUGCCAAUUAUCCAGAACUUCCCAUAGCAUUUGUUUAAAUGGGGAAUGAACCUGAUGAUGUAUCAUAUCAAUUUACUGCAUCCAAAUUUUACUCUAAUUACAAUAGUUUAAAGAAAACUGACAUCUUCCAACUUAUUCUGAUUCUAGGGACCACUUUAUUGCUCCUAAUACUACUGCUACUACUAACGCCCAAGUAAACUAAGCAAAAAUGACAUAAACCGUCUGAGAUGAAGAAAGACAAUAAAUUCAAUUUUAGGAUAAAAAAAAAUCUCUCAAAUAAAAAAGAUCCAGACAACCUCUGUCUUUUCCAUAAAUCCAGCAGAAAUUUUCUAGUGUAAAGGGACACCUAGGAAAAGCACCAUCAGCUUGAAAGGUGUCUCCAGUUCCAACCUGAUCCCUAAUCUCUCCUGGGACAGGGAGCGAGUUGAGCUUAGUCUCCGUCAGUCCGCGGGGAGGUCGGGAGAGCGGAAGGCAGGCAACUUCCCUGGGCGCCCAGGGCACCGACGUCCGCGUCCCCGGGGCAGGGACUUACCACGAGCGCACAGCACAGCAGCUUGUUCAUUGUGGUCCCCGGGAAACCUCAGGCGCUGGGAGGCGGUGGCGGCGGCUGGGCGAGCGCUCUGGUGCUUCUCUGCAGCCCGUGCACUCAUCACGUUAUAUAUAGUGUCCUGGCAACAGGAAGUAUCGGCUUGGCUUUGAUCAUUCAUUCCCUAUCUGGACCAAACUUUACACCUUUCUUUUUUAGGAACCUUGGGCGGGAGCGGGGGGGGUGGGGGUGGGGUGCAAAAAGCUCUGGGGUUAACACUUUCUGAGCCACGGACGAAAGCAGCACCGGAGAGGUGGGAGUAGGGGGUGGGGCGGGGAUGUCUGGGCCCAG